rnacentral:rRNA from 1 species
AUUGAACGCUGGCGGCAGGCCUAACACAUGCAAGUCGAGCGGAUGAAGGGAGCUUGCUCCUGGAUUCAGCGGCGGACGGGUGAGUAAUGCCUAGGAAUCUGCCUGGUAGUGGGGGAUAACGUCCGGAAACGGGCGCUAAUACCGCAUACGUCCUGAGGGAGAAAGUGGGGGAUCUUCGGACCUCACGCUAUCAGAUGAGCCUAGGUCGGAUUAGCUAGUUGGUGGGGUAAAGGCCUACCAAGGCGACGAUCCGUAACUGGUCUGAGAGGAUGAUCAGUCACACUGGAACUGAGACACGGUCCAGACUCCGACGGGGGGCAGCAGUGGGGAAUAUUGGACGAUGGGCGAAAGCCUGAUCCAGCCAUGCCGCGUGUGUGAAGAAGGUCUUCGGAUUGUAAAGCACUUUAAGUUGGGAGGAAGGGCAGUAAGUUAAUACCUUGCUGUUUUGACGUUACCAACAGAAUAAGCACCGGCUAACUUCGUG